GCAUAAAAAGCAACUGAAAAACGCCCGAAGACAUUUCAUUUGUGGCCGCUCGACUCACAGGGAGCAACUCGAAUUAACCGCGAGGUUUUUAUUUAAAAAACCACCGAGUUCAGCUUUAAAAGAAACUGGCAGAAUGGAAGAGUCCUCUAAUACGUUGGUGCGGCGGCUCGUGUCCAUGGCCGCCGCUCACCCUGCGCGCGCACACGCACCUGAUGACCCCCUACUGCGAAGGUAGCUGGAGUCAUUCAGGAGGAAAACGUACACGUUCAGUGUGAGGAGACUCUGGCUGUGAUCCGCGACCCCCCCCCCCCAUCCUCCUCUUUUCCUCCCUCCCUCCGACUGGCACAGAGAAAAGUGUGAGAGACCGAGCGAGGGAACGUGGGAAAGAGGAAGACAAUGUACCCAGCGCUGCUUCUCUCCUCCUUCCUCUUCAUCCUUCAUGUGAUGGGCACUCCACAGUUCUUCGCUCACCACGGGAGGAGGGUGUGUGGCCGAGAUCUCCGUCACAGCGUUGCCAUGGCAACAGAGUCUUACGUCCAGCCGGUGCACAAGCCCUUCAUCACCAUGUGUCAGGGCCAUCGCCUCUGCAGCACAUACAAGACUGUGUACUCCGUGGCGUACCGGCAGGUGAGCAGAGCAGCACCUCCUUCACAUUUCUACUCAGAGUGCUGCCCGGGCUGGCAGAGAUUUCACUCUCACAACUGCAACCAAGCGGUGUGUGGACGGCCCUGUGUGAAUGGAGGGACCUGCUUGAGACCCAACCAGUGUGCUUGUCUGCUAGGUUGGACGGGGCACCAAUGCCAAACAGAUGUGGAUGAGUGUAGCGAGCGGCAGCCGUGCGACCAGGCGUGUGUGAACACAGCUGGCAGCUAUCGAUGUUCGUGCAGAGACGGCUUCAGGCUCACAGGAGAUGGCCGUUCCUGUCAAAGCCUUCCUCCUCCUCCUACUCCACCUUCUCCUCCUCCUCCUCCACCUCACCCUGUUUCUGAACUCAUUCUUGUCUCAGUAAUGGACUACAUCUGGGAGAGAUUGAGCCGCUCAAGCUUUGUCUGCAAAAAGCGCAGCCAGAAAGCACAGUUCCCUUAUUUUGCAUACUGAUCUGGGUGCCGCAUGCUCAAGGGACAUUCCCCUUUUGGAUGGAGCUGGGCAGACACUUCCCCAUCCCCUAUGCAUGUUCACAGGAGGGAUGAAUGAGCACUCAUCUAUUUGUGGUGACCUCUCUUUCAGGUUGUGUAUCGGUUUUUCCCUCGGCCGUUCCCAUAUCCAUGAUUCCCUCCUGUGCUCUAAAAUCCCCCGGCUUCCCUGCAGCUCUGUAGUUCAGAGACGUUGCAGUAGCCAUGAAUCAUUCAAGAAGAGGGAUUGAUGAGGGCAGGAGUCUCAAAGGAAUCGUCUGAGAUAUAAACUUUAGAUCUGAGAGAGCAGAUUAAACAUGCAUUGUUCGUGCCUUAGAUCCACGCCCCUUACCCGUCCCUCCUGCCCCGUCUCACUCAUUUUCCACUAUUUUCCAAAGCGGCAGUCCCCAUCCUCUGAUGUACGUUGUCUGUGUUUGUAUGGUUUCUGCAGGUGGAGGUUUCAGCCAGACUGAGAACGUGACGGAGGAGGUACAGAGCCUGAAGAAUAGAGUAGAGCUCCUGGAAAAGAAGCUGCAGUUGGUGUUGGCCCCUUUCUUCCCUCUGUCGCUGGACGAGGGCUGGUCGGACAAAACCACCUUACUGUCCCACUCCUUCCAGCAGCUGGACCGCAUCGACUCCCUUAGCGAGCAGAUAGGCUUUCUGGAGGAGCG